GAUGAACGCUAGCGGCAGGCAUAAUACAUGCAAGUUGAACGGGAUUCAGAUAGCAAUAUUUGAUGAGAGUGGUGCACGGGUGCGUAACACGUAUGCAACUUACCUUAAACUGGGAGAUAGCCCGUGGAAACAUGGAUUAAUAUCCCAUAGUAUAAAGAACAGGCAUUUGUUUUUAUUAAAGCUCCGGCGGUUUAAGAUGGGCAUGCGCGUCAUUAGCUAGAUGGAGAGGUAACGGCUCACCAUGGCAACGAUGACUAGGGGGUCUGAGAGGAUGUCCCCCCACACUGGUACUGAGACACGGACCAGACUCCUACGGGAGGCAGCAGUAGGGAAUAUUGGGCAAUGGACGCAAGUCUGAUCCAGCCAUGCCGCGUGCAGGAAGACGGCCCUCUGGGUUGUAAACUGCUUUUAUCAGGGAAGAAACCCUUCUACGUGUAGGAGGCUGACGGUACCUGAGGAAUAGGAUCGGCUAACUCCGUGCC
rnacentral:rRNA from 1 species